CCUGGCGGCCUUAGCGCGGUGGUCCCACCUGACCCCAUGCCGAACUCAGAAGUGAAACGCCGUAGCGCCGAUGGUAGUGUGGGGUCUCCCCAAGCGAGAGUAGGGAACUGCCAGAC
rnacentral:rRNA from 1 species